UACGUAGGGGGCAAGCGUUGUCCGGAAUCAUUGGGCGUAAAGCGCGUGUAGGCGGCCCGGUAAGUCCGCUGUGAAAGUCCAGGGCUCAACCCUGGAAUGCCGGUGGAUACUGUCGGGCUCGAGUCCGGAAGAGGCGAGUGGAAUUCCUGGUGUAGCGGUGAAAUGCGCAGAUAUCAGGAGGAACACCGAUGGCGAAGGCAGCUCGCUGGGACGUGACUGACGCUGAGACGCGAAGCGUGGGAGCGAACAGGAUUAAGAUACCCGU
rnacentral:rRNA from 1 species